rnacentral:rRNA from 1 species
AGGACGAACGCUGGCGGCGUGCCUAACACAUGCAAGUCGAACGAGGGCCUGGAGCUUGCUCCGGAGACCCGAGUGGCGAACGGGUGAGUAACACGUGACCAACCUAUCCUAGGGCGGGGGACAACCCGGUGAAAACUGGGCUAAUACCGCAUGACGUCUCCACAUCGCAUGGUGAGGAGAUCAAAGAGGGCCUCUGCUUGCAAGCUCUCACCCAAGGCGGGGGUCGCGACGUAUCAGCUAGUUGGUGGGGUAAUGGCCUACCAAGGCUACGACGCGUAGCGGGUCUGAGAGGAUGAUCCGUCACAUUGGGACUGAGAUACGGCCCAGACUCCUACGGGAGGCAGCAGUGGGGAAUAUUGCGCAAUGGACGAAAGUCUGACGCAGCGACGCCGCGUGUGGGAGGAAGCCCUUCGGGGUGUAAACCACUGUCAGAGGGGAAGAACAUCGUCGGCCUGAACAGGGUCGGCGACUGACGGUACCCUCAAAGGAAGCGCCGGCUAACUCCGUGCCAGCAGCCGCGGUAAUACGGAGGGCGCAAGCGUUGUUCGGAAUUACUGGGCGUAAAGGGCAGGUAGGCGGUCCGUUAAGUCGUUUGUGAAAAUCCGGGGCUCAACCCCGUGAACUGCAUACGAUACUGGCAGACUGGAGACCGGUAGAGGCUAGCGGAAUUCCUGGUGUAGCGGUGGAAUGCGUAGAUAUCAGGAAGAACACCUGUGGCGAAGGCGGCUAGCUGGGCCGGGUCUGACGCUGAACUGCGAAAGCGUGGGGAGCAAACAGGAUUAGAUACCCUGGUAGUCCACGCCGUAAACGAUGGGCACUAGGUACCGGGUCUAUAGACGGAUUCGGUGCCGCAGCUAACGCAUUAAGUGCCCCGCCUGGGGAGUACGGUCGCAAGGCUG